rnacentral:rRNA from 1 species
CCUACGGGGGGCUGCAGUGAGGAAUAUUGGUCAAUGGGCUUACGCCUGAACCAGCCAAGUCGCGUGAGGGAAGACUGCCCUAUGGGUUGUAAACCUCUUUUGUCAGGGAGCAAUUGGCGCUACGUGUAGCGUUAUCGGGAUUACCUGAAGAAAAAGCAUCGGCUACCUCCGUGCCACCAGCCCCGGUAAUACGGGGGAUGCGAGCGUUAUCCGGAUUUAUGGGGUUUAAAGGGUGCGUAGGCGGAAUGCCAAGUCAGCGGUAAAAUCGCGGGGCUCAACCUCGCUCCGCCGUUGAAACUGGCGUUCUUGAGUGGGCGAGAGGUAUGCGGAAUGCGUGGUGUAGCGGUGAAAUGCAUAGAUAUCACGCAGAACUCCGAUUGCGAAGGCAGAAUACCGGAGCCCAACUGACGCUGAAGCACGAAAGCGUGGGUAUCGAACAGGAUUAGAUACCCCAGUAGUC